rnacentral:rRNA from 1 species
GACGAACCGUGCGAACGUUGUUCGGAAUCACUGGGCUUAAAGGGCGCGUAGGCGGGCCCGCAAGUCAGGGGUGAAAUCCCACGGCUCAACCGUGGAAGUGCCUUUGAUACUGCGGGUCUCGAGGGAGGUAGGGGCGUGCGGAACUUCCGGUGGAGCGGUGAAAUGCGUAGAUAUCGGAAGGAACACCGGUGGCGAAAGCGGCGCGCUGGACCUCUUCUGACGCUGAGGCGCGAAAGCGUGGGGAGCAAACAGG